CUAUGAUUUCCUUUGAUGGCAUCAGAUUAGGAAUAAAGAUUUAUCGGUUAUAGAUGGGGAUGCGUCUGAUUAGCUUGUUGGCGGGGUAACGGCCCACCAAGGCAACGAUCAGUAGGGGUUCUGAGAGGAAGGUCCCCCACAUUGGAACUGAGACACGGUCCAAACUCCUACGGGAGGCAGCAGUGAGGAAUAUUGGUCAAUGGGCGGAAGCCUGAACCAGCCAAGUAGCGUGCAGGAUGACGGCCCUAUGGGUUGUAAACUGCUUUUAUACAGGAAUAAAGUUAGCCACGUGUGGUUAUUUGUAGGUACUGUAUGAAUAAGGACCGGCUAAUUCCGUGCCAGCAGCCGCGGUAAUACGGAAGGUCCAGGCGUUAUCCGGAUUUAUUGGGUUUAAAGGGAGCGUAGGCCGUCUGUUAAGCGUGUUGUGAAAUGUAGAUGCUCAACAUCUGAAUUGCAGCGCGAACUGGCAGACUUGAGUGUGCGCAACGUAGGCGGAAUUCGUGGUGUAGCGGUGAAAUGCUUAGAUAUCACGAAGAACUCCGAUUG
rnacentral:rRNA from 1 species